rnacentral:lncRNA from 1 species
UGCCUUCUCUCCCAAGCCUCAGGUCUCCCAGAGGAAUCCCAAGUAGAGUUCCGGAAGCAGCAUCUAACUCCAGACUCCCAGGGCAGGGCUUCUCCAAGGACUCUCUAGGGCCAGUCCCCUGGCACCUUUAGUUCCCAAAGCUCUGAGCACAGAAAACACUGGGGCCUCAGAGGAGUCUCUUGCAGGGAAGUGGGCACCACUGUCAGGGCCUCCCGCAGCAGCUCUGCUCCUGUCUAAGCUGGGCUCCAGAAACCCUCUGCAGCUCUCAGAAGCCUUGAUCACCACCUGCAAAGCCUCCCACCCCUGUCUUCCCAGAGGAGGUGGCAGAACCUGAGCAAACUUUUUCUGGUCCAAUCUGGGGGGUGGGGCUGGGCCUCCGAAUUCUGAGCUGUGGGACCAAGCAGCUGGACCAAGAAGAGGAAAGAAGUAUGUACAUUGAUCUCCAGUAGUGGAUCCCAGCACUUUGGAGUACAAAGAACCCCUUAAAACUCAAAAGAUUCCACAGGCCCCCGCCUGGGGAAUUCUUAGCACUAUGCCCCUGGACCCCUGGUCCUGUCAGUUUCUCCAGGGCCCCUACUUGGAGCAAGUCCCAAGCAGAAUCCGUGAGAUUCUAGGGAGAGAGGAAGACUCCACAGCGGGGCUGAGGGGUGCCUGGGAAGGAUAGGUCGAGGGAUCUCAGGCCUCAGUCCCUUCCUGCUUCCUUUGACUUUUUCCAGCUUUCAUUUCCCCAUCCCAAAGCCCCCUCCCCAGCCUCCUGCUCAGUUUCACAUCCAAAACACAGAAGCCCUACCUGCACCUGCGGGCUGUCUUUCUCAAAUUCCUGCCUCCCCCAGCCACCUACAAAUUCUAGCCACACCCACUCUUACCUCUUUGCCAUCUAUAUUUUUAAAUAAACUUUUAAUUUUAGAACAGCUUGAAAUUCACAGAAAAAUUACAAAGAUAGUACAGAGAGUCCCCAUAUGCCCCAUGCCCAGUUUUCUCUAUUUUCAGAGGAGCAAGGAGGUUCCCUGCUCAUAUUCCCUGGAGCCCACCCUUCACCCCUUCACAUCAUCACCAUCCUAUAAUUUAUCUGUACUCUGCCUCCUUCCCGCAUGGUCUCUGGCACUGCUCUGGCUGAGAUCACCAGGGACCCCUAAAUUGCCAAAUUCAUUGGCCCCGUUGUAGUCCUCAGUUUCCUCAACCAGUGGGAACAGGGUGACUAAUGAUCACUCCCUCCUCUGCAAAGCCCUGAAACCCACAUGCUCAGCCAUGGUGGGUGGGUGCUGGGUGCCUCCUUGGAGGCUCUCCCACCAGAGUUUUAUGUCUACCACUCCCAGCACUGAUCGCCCUUCAAGUCUCUCCCUCCCCAAGAUCCUGACCUUGUCCCCUCUCCCAGCUGUUCCCCCUGCCCCCUCCAGCACUGGGAGGCUUGUCCAAUGGCUUCUCAGUCCCCAGAGUGGAAAAGCUAAGAAAGGAGGAUUCACAUCCCAAAGCUGGUCAUUUGCUGUGUGACCUUGAGUAAAAUGCUUUCCCUAAGUUUCCUCUUUGAUAAUGUGUUGUGUGGAUAAAAUGUGACAGAGUGAAGGCAUAGAAAGCAAAAACCCCUUCCCCUUCCUCCUUGCAGCCCCACCCUCCCACACCCACCUUUGUGCAGCCCCACGCUCCCACGCCCAUCUUCCUGCUCUGUGCUCCCCCACACCUCUCAGAUAAGGCUUCAAGGCUGACAUGUAGGUUUCAGGACUUUUCCAGCACCUGGAGCCUUCUCUGCCCUCACCCUGCCUCUGCAGGUUCCUACCAAGCAUACCUGCAGAAGUUUCGCCCUAAUCAUUACAAUGCUUCCAUCACUUUUCAGAUCUUGCCUCUGGCAUGGGCCCAGCCACUUUCACCAUUUAGCUCUGCUCCUGAGUUGCACAGACCUUGCUACAGUGUGACUUUAGACCCUUCUACUUGACCUUUCUUGUCUCGCUGUAAAAUGGGAAUGAUAAUGAUGGUAUCCACAUCAUAGGGUUUGUUGAGGAUUUAAGAAAAAAGUAUCUAGAAAGCAUUUAAAAUGGCAGCUGCACAUAGUAGAUGCUAUUGACAUGUUGGCUAUCAUUACUAUUUCACAUAUGGGAGAACCGAGGCUCAAAGAGGGGCAGUGACUUGCCCUGUAAGGCAGAGUGGCAAAGUCCGUAUAGAAACCUGUCUACCCUGCAUCCCUUCAGCAUAGCACACACUCUCCCUGCUUGUCCUUCUAGCACCUGUAUUUCUACAUCCAGGGGGCUAGCCUGGCCUGGAAAUUGGUCAGAAGUAGCUCCUGAGGCUAUAGCUGUGGGGCCAAGGGAAGGAGUAUGGGGGCAGGGAUCCUGAAUGUGGAGAGUAAGAUGUCUGCCCAGCGCAGUGGACAUCCAUGAUCAGCCAUCCCUGCCUGUCUUCCAGUUGAUUUUCCAGUGCAGGCUCCAGAGAACAGCAUGUGAUUCAGGCCAGUGGGUCAGAACCAGUGGCUGCUUCAGAAGUGGACACAUGAUCCCAUUAAGUCCAAUGGGUAUCAGCCCUGGGACUUUUUGCUGGAACCAUUGAGAAUCUCUGGUGGGCUGCUGAGCUGGCAGGAUGUGGGACUAGAGCUGGCUGAGGGGCAUUUUUGCUGAUAAUGGGAUGAGUUGCCUGAGACUAAAGCCAGAACUGAGAAAAGGAGGGCAGGGACUCAGCCUCCUGAAAUCAUCCUGACAUCCUUGGGUACUGGAUCCUGCUGUGUCUGAAGCCAUUGACCUUUUCAGUUAAAUGAGACAAAUUAUCCCUGUUUUUUGCUUAAACUAGUUUGAAUUGCAGCUGAGAGUCCUUCCUAGUUGACCCAGUCUCCAAAUAAUAGUCAUUUUUGUCAGUGGCAAGAGACAAGGGUGAAAACAAAGUUGANNNNNUAGCGCCCCCAGGUCCUGAGUCAGAGAACUUAGGCUGGUCCUGGGAACUUCCUUGGCUAUUCAGGGCUGGUCCCAGCCUCUUGAGUUCUCUGCACGUUCCCAGAAAGCUGCCUCUUGCCCCCCAGAACCCCCACCUUGCCCCACUUUAGGUCCCAGCUGGGGAGGAACUUUUCCUCCAAUCUCAGGUUUGGCUUUGGAUUCAGGCCAACUCAGUUUCGAAUCCCAGCCUCCGUGGCUGCUCCAUGUGUGUGCCGUGGGCCUAGGCCCCCAGUCCCUAGCCUCAGCUCCCUUCCUGUAGCAGGACCUUGUGUGCCUUGUGAGUGUUCCAAGGCCCACGUGGGGCCCAGCACAGAGAAGCAGCAUCAGAAUCGAGAAUCGUCAGUCCUUCCCUGUGUACCCUAUUCUCCACCGCCUGUUUCCCUGCUGACUUCAAAUGAGUGCAAGCCGCUCAGAACUGGAAAAAGCCCCUCCCUGGCCUGCUGUCUCUCCAGUUGCCCACUCAGCCCCCUGCCAAGGGCUCUGCCCCCUCGGUUGGGGGGACUGCACACUCUCAGGGCGCUAAUGACCCCCGUGCCGGGUACAAAGACAUUUCCCAGUACCCUUGGCCUCCACCUGUAUAGCCUUGCACCUGAAACUUGAGAACACANNNNNNNNNNNNNNNNNNNNNNNNNNNNNNNNNNNNNNNNNNNNNNNNNNNNNNNNNNNNNNNNNNNNNNNNNNNNNNNNNNNNNNNNNNNNNNNNNNNUGAUCCCUGCAGCUCUGUGCUAGAGAGGGGUGGGGAGCUUGGGAGGUGCAGUGGGAAGCAACUCCGCCUUUAAUCUGGGAAGCACGGACUAGACCUGGGCUGCUGGGUAGCUCCGGAGAGGUCACUUUCCCUUUCUGAGCCUCAGGUCCCUCCUCUGAAACAUGCCUUGAAUGACAUCUCUUUUAAGCAUGUUUUAAUGAUUAAAUGACAUCUAAGCGAUUUCUCUGUGGUUCCAGCAGAGAGGUAGCUGUUCAGAGCAAGUGCCCCAUGCUUGUUUUGACUUCCAUCUAAAANNNNNNNNNNNNNNNNNNNNNNNNNNNNNNNNNNNNNNNNNNNNNNNNNNNNNNNNNNNNNNNNNNNNNNNNNNNNNNNNNNNNNNNNNNNNNNNNNNNGUUCAGAGCAAGUGCCCCAUGCUUGUUUUGACUUCCAUCUAAAAAGCUCCGCUUUCCUGAGAUUCAGUGCCCAGCUCUCUCCUCUCCCCUUACAUCUGCCCUCCAGAUUCUUCAACCACCUCCCCUUGGCAGGAGCCUUCACGCUGCCUCCUCCACCCCUCCUAGCAGCUCAGCUGACCACAGCUGCUAGAGGUUCUCAGGGCCCACCACAGUCAAACCUUUUAAGACAGCUGUCCACACACUCUCAUCGACUCACUCUCUACACCCUCCCCUUCUUCCUCCAAACCUGGCACUGGCCCCAGCUCUCAGCAAAACUGAUCCGGCAAACGUCACCUUGUUGCAAAAUGCCAUGGGGACUCCUCAG